rnacentral:rRNA from 1 species
GGAUGACCAGCCACACUGGAACUGAGACACGGUCCAGACUCCUACGGGAGGCAGCAGUGGGGAAUAUUGCACAAUGGGCGCAAGCCUGAUGCAGCCAUGCCGCGUGUAUGAAGAAGGCCUUCGGGUUGUAAAGUACUUUCAGCGGGGAGGAAGGGAGUAAAGUUAAUACCUUUGCUCAUUGACGUUACCCGCAGAAGAAGCACCGGCUAACUCCGUGCCAGCAGCCGCGGUAAUACGGAGGGUGCAAGCGUUAAUCGGAAUUACUGGGCGUAAAGCGCACGCAGGCGGUUUGUUAAGUCAGAUGUGAAAUCCCCGGGCUCAACCUGGGAACUGCAUCUGAUACUGGCAAGCUUGAGUCUCGUAGAGGGGGGUAGAAUUCCAGGUGUAGCGGUGAAAUGCGUAGAGAUCUGGAGGAAUACCGGUGGCGAAGGCGGCCCCCUGGACGAAGACUGACGCUCAGGUGCGAAAGCGUGGGGAGCAAACAGGAUUAGAUACCCUGGUAGUCCACGCCGUAAACGAUGUCGACUUGGAGGUUGUGCCCUUGAGGCGUGGCUUCCGGAGCUAACGCGUUAAGUCGACCGCCUGGGGAGUACGGCCGCAAGGUUAAAACUCAAAUGAAUUGACGGGGGCCCGCACAAGCGGUGGAGCAUGUGGUUUAAUUCGAUGCAACGCGAAGAACCUUACCUGGUCUUGACAUCCACGGAAGUUUUCAGAGAUGAGAAUGUGCCUUCGGGAACCGUGAGACAGGUGCUGCAUGGCUGUCGUCAGCUCGUGUUGUGAAAUGUUGGGUUAAGUCCCGCAACGAGCGCAACCCUUAUCCUUUGUUGCCAGCGGUCCGGCCGGGAACUCAAAGGAGACUGCCAGUGAUAAACUGGAGGAAGGUGGGGACGACGUCAAGUCAUCAUGGCCCUUACGACCAGGGCUACACACGUGCUACAAUGGCGCAUACAAAGAGAAGCGACCUCGCGAGAGCAAGCGGACCUCAUAAAGUGCGUCGUAGUCCGGAUUGGAGUCUGCAACUCGACUCCAUGAAGUCGGAAUCGCUAGUAAUCGUGGAUCAGAAUGCCACGGUGAAUACGUUCCCGGGCCUUGUACACACCGCCCGUCACACCAUGGGAGUGGGUUGCAAAAGAAGUAGGUAGCUUAACCUUCGGGAGGGCGCUUACCACUUUGUGAUUCAUGACUGGGGUGAAGUCGUAACAAGGUAACCGUAGGGGAACCUGCGGUUGGAUCACCUCCUUACCUUAAAGAAGC